AUCCAGCAGACGAGUCCCAAAUAGAAAGAAACGCGCGUCCUGGAU
rnacentral:hammerhead_ribozyme from 1 species